CAUCACCAUCCCACGCGCAGUGCCAGCCAGACCGCAGAGCGGACUGCACACAAACCCAGUGCGACAAAACUAAGUCCGCGUUAGAAGUGCACAGUUUGGUGAAAUUAGAGGCAACGGAUUUGGCCUGAUUUCAAUUAAGAAACAUUCGUGAACCUCGUCGUGUCACAGCACUGACAAUACGUUUGCACGGCUGCUCUGGCGGCAUAAUUAAAUCUGGAGAAAAGGAAGAACCCAGCACGUAAAACGCUCGCCCGAGACCGUCGUACAGGGAACGUCGUGGAAAGCGAAACACCCUCUCGAAGCGGGCUAUCGCAGCAAAUCAGCAAGCAUCUCUGCUUUUCGGUAACGGUGGAGAAGUGAAUCGCCCAGAAAGAUCGUUCAACCGGACAAUAGAAGACCCCGCUAAGGGGUCUUUUUGUUUUAUACAUUCUUGCUUCUUGUUACCGUACCGUGACUGGGUGUUGCUUUGAGGCGCAAGCCUGCCGUGGUGCGUGGAUUGGUGAGUCAAAAACAACAACCGAUUAUCAGCGUGUGUUCGUGGUGUUAGAACGAUUGUGAGCGGUGAUCCGCGUUGGGACGGACGGACGGCAUAGCAUCGCAGUGAAAGCCGACGGACACCAAGAAGUGAGACAUCGGAAGUGUGGUGUUUGCCUCGAUGCGGCUAUCGAGUGAUCGUCGGUGGGUGGUCGCUGCGUCCAGAGUCUGCCUGGUGGCGGAACCAAACAACAUGAACGGCUCAGUGGCAAGCGGUGUGUCGUUGGCUCCGCGGAGCGGUACCGUGAGUACCUACCAUUAGUUUAAGAAAACGAUUGUAUGGGCCUCGAGCCAUAGAGUAGAGGAUAGGUCUUGAGGUCAGGAGUGAGAAUAGGCCACGAUGAAAAUGAAUAUAAGCUACGUUUAAACUGAAAUAUUCGCUUUGUGUUUUGUUGGUGCUCAUAGCCCACAGUGUUUGUGAUCGUUCCAUCUAUUGGUAGUUUCCACCUUGCUCUACCUAGUCGGGAAAUCCACAACAACUCGUUCAGAAGUAAAACACCUAGAGGAGUUUUUCCGGAUAUUUUGCUCCUAAAAAUUCUUUGGAAAUACGUCGAGAAUACCUUUAGAAACUGCUUUGAAAAAUUCAUUCGGGAAUCCUUCGGCUAUUCUUUCAAGAAUUCCUUUAGCAAAAAUCCACCACAAUUCACUCUA